rnacentral:rRNA from 1 species
CCUACGGGUGGCAGCAGUAGGGAAUUUUCGUCAAUGGGCGCAAGCCUGAACGAGCAAUGCCGCGUGAACGAGGAAGGUCUUCGGAUCGUAAAGUUCUGUUGAAGGGGAAAAAGAGCGGAGAGAGGAAAUGCUUUCUGAUUGAUAUUACCCUUCGAGGAAGUCACGGCUAACUACGUGCCAGCAGCCGCGGUAAUACGUAGGUGGCGAGCGUUAUCCGGAAUGAUUGGGCGUAAAGGGUGCGUAGGCGGCCUGCUACGUCUGGGGUGAAAGGUACCGGCUCAACCGGUACAGGCGCUGGAAACUGGCGGGCUAGAGAGCAGGAGAGGGCGGUGGAACUCCAUGUGUAGCGGUAAAAUGCGUAGAUAUAUGGAAGAACACCAGUGGCGAAGGCGGCUUACUGGACUGUAACUGACGUUGAGGCUCGAAAGCGUGGGGAGCAAACAGGAUUAGAUACCCCUGUAGUC